AUUAAGAUGGCGGAAUAGAAGGAAUGGAGCUCAACUUCUCUCCUAAAAACAACAAAAUUUACAACCAAACGCUAAGCAAUCUCCAACCAAAUGGACCAGAAACUUUCAAAAAGAUAUCCUGCUCCAGAAGACAAAGAGGAGGCCGCAUCAAGAAGGAGGAGGGGCAAUUACAUGAUAUAAGCAACCCCAUACCUCCUGGGUGGUAAGCCCCACAGACUGCAAAGUAACUGGUUCACAGAGACUCACCUACAGGAGUGAGAGUUCUGAGCCCCACAUCAAAUCCCCACUCCUGGGGAUCUGGAGCUGGGAGAAAGAGCCCCUGGAGCAUCUUGCAUUGAAGACCAUGGGGGCUUGUGUACAGGAGCUCCAUGGGACUGGGGGAAAUGGAGACCACAUUCUUAAAAGAUGCACACAGACUUUCAUGUGCCCUGGGUACCAGGGCAAAGCAAAGUCUCCAUAGGAAUCUGGGUCAGACCUGACUGCAGUUUUUGGAGGACCUACUGUGAAAACAGGGGUGAAUGUGGUUUGUUGUGGGGGAAGGACAUUGGAAGAAAAGCUCUUGGGCAUAUUCAUCAGCAUGCCUUUCUCUGGAGGUGGCCAUUUGGGGAAAAUUUGGCCCCACCUAUCAGUGCUGAGAAGCCCCAGAGCAAACAACAAUCCAGGUGGGCUCACAGCCCCACCCAUAAGUAAACAGGCUGCCUAAAUAUCCCCCAGGCACACACCCACCUCUAAUCUCACCCAGAGGCAAAGCCCCACCCACCAGAGGGAUAGGAAUCAGCUCCACCUACCAGUGAGCAGGCAUCACUUCCUCCCAUCAGGAAACCUACAGCAAGACCCCAUACCAACUUCAGCCAUCUGGGGACAGACACCAGAAGUAAGAGAGGCUGCAACUCUACUGUCUGUAAAAAGGUCACCACACCAAAAACCCAUAAAAAUGAAAAGACAGAGAACAAUAACUCAGAUGAGGGAGAAAGAAAUAACCCCAGAAAAUCAGCUAAGUGAUGAGAUUUUCAGCCUCCAGGAAAAAGACUUUAGACUGUUGAUGCUGAAGAUGAUGAAAGACAUUGGAAAUAAACUGGAGGCAAAGAUGGAUAAUUUACAGGAAGCACUGAGCAAGGAGAUACAAGAUAUAAAACUUAAGCAAGAAGAGGUGAAAAAUACAAUAACUGAAAUAAAAAAUUCGUUAGAAGCAGCCAACAGCAGAAGACAGGAGACAGAAGAACGAAUAAGCGAGGUGGAGAAUGGAUUAGUGGAAAUCAUGGAUGCGGAACAGAAAAGAGAAAAAAGAUUGAAAACAAAUGAGAGUUUCAGAGAACUCUGGGGCAAUGUUAAAUGCACCAACUUCCAUAUUAUAGGGGUGCCAGAAGGAGAAGAGAGAGAGAGAAGGGGACGGAAAAAAUAUUCCAAAAGAUAAUAGCCGAAAACUUCCCUCACAUGGGAAAGGAACCAUUCACUCAAAUCCGGGAAGCACAAUGAGUAGCAUAUAAAAUAAACCCAAGGAAGAAUAUCCUGAGACACAUAUUAAUCAAAGUGACCAAAAUUAAAGACAAAGAGAAAAUCUUGAAAGCAGUUAGGGAAAAGAAACAAACAACAUACAAAGGAACCCUGAUAAGAUUAUUGGCAGAUUUUUUUUCAGCAGAAACUCUGCAGGCUAGAAGGGAGUGGCAUGAUAUCCUUAACGUGAUGAAAGGAAAAAACCUCCAACCAAGGUUACUUUACCCAGCAAGGCUCUCAUUCAGACUUGAAGUAGAAACCAAAAGCUUCACAGACAAGCAAAAGCUAAGAGAAUUCAGCAACACUAAACCAGCUUUACAACAAAUAUUAAAGGAACUUCUCUAGGCAGAAAAGAAAAGGCUGCAAUCAGAAACAAAAAUACCACAAAUGACUAGGCUCACCAGUAAAGAUAUGAAACCAUCUAUGCAAAAUUAUGCCACCAAAAUCAGAAAUCAUGAGAAGAUGAGAGUACAAAGGCAGGACACUGGAGAUGCACUUGCAAUUAAGAUACCAACAACUUAAAACAAUCUCUUAUAAAUAUAGACUCAUAUCAAAACUUCAGAAUAACUGCAAACCAAAAAAUCUACAAUUGAUACACAAACAAAUAAGAAAAAUCAACUCAAAUACAACACUAGUCAUCAAACCACAAGAGGAGAGAG
rnacentral:lncRNA from 1 species